GAGAAGUUUACCUAACUAUAGACGCUUCGUUAUUAGGUGUAGGAGCAUGCCUUGAACAAUGCGAUAAAUAUAACAUACUACAUCCAAUUGGAUACGCCUCUAGAAAACUAUUAAAAAACGAAAAAACUAACUCGUCCACAACAUUAGAACUAUUAGGACUAUGUUUCGGCAUUACAUACUUUCGGGAAUACUUAUGGGGAAGACAUUUUUUUUGUAUUUUAUGACAAUAUCAGCUUACAAUAUUACACAAACUUGAAAAUACCAUCGGCUAGAAUAGCUCGACUAACGCUAAAAUUGUUAGAUUUCAAUUUCGAAAUAAUCUACAAAAAAGAAAGGAGAACAGAGUCGCUGACGCUCUUUCUAGAAACCCCAUUAAUAAAAUUGAUAUUCAAAUUUAUAAUGAUAACUUAAAUAUUGACUUAGCGGAUAUAAAAAGCCAACAAAAUAAUGACCAAUUUUGUUCCCAAAUUAUAAAAUCAAUCAACAACAUUCAAAUUGAUCAAAUCCCAAUUAAUAUUAAAAGAAAAUCUAGACAAUUUUUGAUAAUAAACGACAUAUUACAUUACAAACACUUUAAAUCUCCAAAUAAUAUCAAUUAUCCAUUNCCACAACAUUAGGACUAUGUUUCGGCAUUACAUACUUUCGGGAAUACUUAUGGGGAAGACAUUUUACUGUAUUUUGUGACAAUAUCAGCUUACAAUACUACACAAACUUGAAAAUACCGUCGGCUAGAAUAGCUCGAUUAACUCUAAAAUUGUUAGAUUUCAAUUUCGAAAUAAUCUACAAAAAAGAAAGGAGAACAGAGUCGCUGACGCUCUUUCUAGAAACCCCAUUAAUAAAAUUGAUAUUCAAAUUUAUAAUGAUAACUUAAAUAUUGACUUAGCGGAUAUAAAAAGCCAACAAAAUAAUGACCAAUUUUGUUCCCACAUUAUAAAAUCAAUUAACAACAUUCAAAUUGACCAAAUCCCAAUUAAUAUUAAAAGGAAAUCGAGACAAUUUUUGAUAAUAAAACGACUAAUGACAUAAUUCAUGUCAGAAGAAUGAAACCAUACAUUAAUAGAUAGAAAAAGUAGGCAGAUUAGAAUACGUUUAAAAAAAAAAAAAAUAAAAAUAAUAAUAAUAAUAACAAAUAAUACUAUAACAAGAUAUAAUAUAAUAAAAUAUACAUACAUACAUAUAUAUAUAUAUGUAUAUAUAUACAUAAAAACCGUUUAUCUGAAAGGCCUCCUCACAACAAUAAUUAUAUGGCACCAUACGUUUUAACCAUUUUUACCAUCUUAUUACGCUCAGCUAUCAUAGUAUUAUCGAGUAGGGCACCUAAUAUAACAAAAAAAGAGAUACGUAAUAUACCUUUUUUUUUUAUAAUCUUAUAAAUACACGCAAACGCUAAACAAAUAGAAAUGAUCAUACUCUUCCACCCAUCCAAUAUAAUUAUUAUAUACCUACUUAUCAAUAAACUUUUAUUCACAGGUUUUUUCUUUCUCUUCCCUUCCACAUCAUUACUAUCACAAUUUCCUUA